AUGUUCCUAUUCAGUGCAAAAUGACUUGUCUGACGUUUUUGCUGUAAGGGAAGGGCUGAAACAGGGCGACGCACUGUCUUGCCUGCUCUUCAAUUUGGCUUUGGAAAUCGCAAUGAGACGUGCUGGUAUCCAAACCAACAAAACACUGGUGAAUGGAUCAGUUCAAGUUCUGGGCUUUGCAGAUGACUUGGAUCUUGCCAGUCGUACACAUGCAGCAGCGGUAGACACUUUCACAAAUCUGAAAAUCCAAGCGGAGAGAAUGGGUUUGAUGAUCAACGAAUCGAAAACCAAGUACAUGAAGGCCGAGCCCAAUACGGUUGCCAAUCAACAAGGGGACGUGAUAAGCAUUGGAGAGUACAACCUCGAGGUAGUCGAAGAAUUCAUCUACCUUGGAGCGCUGAUUCGUUCGGAUGGCGA